AAGAUCUAUUACACGAACCUACAAUUACCGUUUUUUAUUGGGGUGUAAUUUGCCUCCUUUAACAGAGAUAAAUGAUUACUAUAUUUCUGGGGUUGAAUUCGGACAAUUUUCGCGUUAUUGUAUUCGAUUCGUUGUACUUAUUCCGCGUUAAUCCGGAAAUGAUUUUUUUCAUCUUUACAACGUGUUCCCGUCACCAAAUUAUCAAGUAACUUGUUCAUCUUUCGUUUCGCGAUGCACGAGUCACGAGUCAUGUAAUUCCGUGACAAAGGUUUGAGAAAGCUUUAUUACGCUUUCACAAAUCCGCAACAGCUGUAUCCAAAAAGCUAUUGGAAAAAAAUCAUAUUUUUCAUUCUUCCGGAGCUAUAUCUUGUUGCUUGAAUUUAGCAAUGACCAAAACAAGUUUUCCAAAUGUGAGAUAUAUCCUCUCUCUGGAUCGAGAAAAACCGAGGAAAAUCAAGUGUUGUUAAAUGUGAAUGUCUGUAUUUUUUUUUACACACUUCAUAACUCAAUCAGUCAUAUUUUUUCUACCGAUGAAUCAGCCACCAACCCAUAAUGUUGAUUUAGGCACACGAUAUUACUGUACUUGCUCGCGUAGCCAGUUGAGCGAAUCCUUGCAUGAAGGAGUGCAACCUAGGAAACGGAACAACAUUCACUCCGCCAGCUUUCGCGGAAUAGUAUUCAAUUGACUGUAGAAUUUUGCUCUUUUAAUGAUAUCGUAUAACGAUAAAUCAUACGCGACUACUCAUUUCAAAGAAACAUUAUGCAACAAAAUGUAAGGAAGUAUAAUCGUUACUGCACACAUUCACUAUUCAUAUUCUAUAAGCGCUUCGAUAAUAAUUUCAAUUUUUGAAAAGAUGAUCAUACUUUGGUAGCGGAGCAUAAUUAUACGAGCUUGAUACGAUCCAGUGUUCAAUUCCUUUUUCACUCAUCGUUUUGGUCGCCAUUGUAAUUUAUCAAUUCAAGUGAGUAAUUGCAAACUAUAUUGGGAACAGACAAGAACAAAUAGGUACUGUAUAUUUCAAACUGUUUGAUAGAGACAGUUUUUAUAGUCUCUAAUACACAUUACUAGCCCUGGAAUUGCUAUUCUGUAUAACUCAUGAUGCCAUGUGUGCCGUAGAAAGUCAUUACACUCGCGACUGGCAGGCUGGAAAAAUUUAUGGAGGGACAGAAUGAGGUACGUUACAAUUUUCUAUUGUCCUGAGUUUGAGUUUUAGCCAAAUCGAAUCAAGGAUCGUGCACAAUUCUAAAAAAUAAACUCUAUAAAAGGUAUAUUUCGAUCCAAAACAUUAUGCGCAUAACUUGUCAACUCAAUCAGAUCUGUAUUCGAAAUGAGUUCAAGACCGAAGGACGUUUCGUGAUAAGAAAUGCUAAUUUUACGGUGAAACGCACCGGAGGAUCGAGAUAAGACUUGAAUACGUAUAAAAAUGUAACAUAUAGGUACGUACAAAAACAUGGCUCGGUCCUUAAAGUAGGGGCAGGUAACACUUUGUUCCUGUAAGUAGGACAAAUCGUAAAUGGCAACGAGAUAAGAUCGAUUCUGUUCCAUAACUUUUUGAAAUACAUUUUUAAUUCGGUGAAUAUUUUUUAUACAAUGUUACUACGGGUGCUAUAAAAACCGCAAUUUUUCUGCCUAGCUCCAAAUAUUCGCACCGCGGUCAAAAAUGGCAAUUUCAAAUCUGUUUCGCGUGUGCAAAUCGCGAACUGGUCACAUUUAACGACGUGGUUUUCUUUCAAAUGUUAAGUGCUCAACUGCCUUGUAGCCACGUCUUGGCAGCAGUGGUCAAGCAGGGUCGAUACUCUUAGGUCAGCUAACGCAGGACACGCGAACUCACCCUUCUGGUUCCUUAGGCGUUUAUAAAGACUCCGAUUCGACCAGAUUUCACGUGAAGAAAUUUUCCUAAGAUAUUAACAUCGUCGCAGAAUAUCACUUUAUGCAAAAAUUUGAAUUGCAGUUUUUCAAGGUAAAGCGUUGCGAAGAAGUUACGGGCUGAUAAUAAUUCUUCCGAAAUUCAAGUCGCAUGGAUAACUAUCCAGUCUCAAUAAUAGAAUAGUUAGUCGACGUUAUUUGUGUCGGCUACCAAUAGUCCUGUAAUAGUGAACUUUUUAUGUAUCUCUUUUUGAUGCAGUUUUUUUUUUUUUUUGCAUACACAGCGCUACGUAUUCAUUGUGAGGACACUAUUACAGUAGUCGUGACUUGUGCUUGCGAUAAGAAAUCGCAAGAACCUAUCAAUUGGAACCGUCCGGAAGAAUUCAUCUGACUCAUUGAAACUGCAAUAUUUUUUAAAUCAAAAUUGCACGCCACGUUGUAUAAAGUUUUCUGUCGACUGACUGGCAAAACCUGCGAUUUCUCUGAGUCGGCGAUGCGUAGUCACAAAUUCACCUCGUGUCAGCGUUGACAUUCAACUCCGCAGGGUCAUUCUAGCGGUCUCGGGUUUGCCAGUUAAACAAAUAGGUACUGCAGGCAUAAUGAAUCGAGGACACUUCUCGAUAUUCUAACAUAAAUUUCAAGCUCGGACUUUCCUUGGAUCGAAUCAAGUCGAGGGUUGGAAACAAAUUCUAAACAGUGGACGGAUACAACGGUGAAGACUUGCUAAAUAAUACAUUCGGAAGUCUUUAAACACACGAUGGAAGUGGAUACACCGUUCGUCUUUACAGAUCACCUAUCGUUAAGAAUUGUUAAAAACUAAACAAAUUUCAAAAUGGACUGCACACAUUUCGUGGGAACAUUUUUAUUUCUUUCGUUUUGCUAAUGAGUCUCAAAUGACAUUCGAUAAGAGAUCUUUAUUUUUUUUGCUUCUAAUGUUACCAUUUUUAUUAAAAAAUUUCGAGAAUAUUGUACAAAAAACAACGGCUGGGUAAUUUAUUUUGUCACAAAGACGUAUAUGAGAGAAAUAUUCUGUAAAAGAAUUUAAAAAAUCGCUCUAUUCUUUUACUGUUAUCAUGACUUCGGCGUGCAGCAAAAUAGUAAUUAAUUGUGCCACGGAUACUCAAACGUUAUAUCUUUACUUCGCUAAUACCUGUUUAAUUGUAGUAUGAUACAAAGGGCGAAAUUCACAACCAGUUGCUUAUAUGCAAGCGCUUGUUAAUUCCUUACUAUGUAGUAUAUCUUAGCACCGUGAAUCCUGGUCAAAUAUAUAAGCUAAUGGAUCAAGUUUACUGGUAAAGACCCUCCAGUAAGUUUCCUAGAAUGUCUGAAGGACAUCUGCCCAGUUGGCCGUGCGGCUUUACACUCUCUAGAGCGUAUACGAUCUAACUGAACCACUGUGUACGAACAGGUAUGCAUUAUCUUCCCCUGAAUAAAUAGCUAUAGUAACACUUGUCAUGCGUAAAUCGAAACUGUUUCAACUUUCAUUAAGGUC